GCCGAACGCUGGCGGCGUGCUUAACACAUGCAAGUCGAACGGAGUGGCGAACGGGUGAGUAAUGCGUACUCAACUUGCCCAUCAGAGGGGGACAACAGUUGGAAAGGACUGUUAAUACGGCUUACGGAAGGAGGGGUAGGUGUGUGAUUAGCUAGUUGGAGGGGUAACGGCACACCAAGGCGACGGUCAGUAGCCGGUCUGAGAUGAUGAACGGCGACAUUGGUACUGAGACAAGUCCCAGACUCCUACGGGAGGCAGCAGUGGUGAAUCUUCCGCAAUGGACGAAAGUCUGACGGAGCAACGCCGCGUGAGUGAUGACGGCCUUCGGGUUGUAAAGCUCUGUUAAUCGGGACGCGUUACCGGAAUAGAAAGCCACGGCUAACUACGUGCCAGCAGCCGCGGUAAUG
rnacentral:rRNA from 1 species